rnacentral:rRNA from 1 species
UACGUAGGGGGCAAGCGUUGUCCGGAAUCAUUGGGCGUAAAGCGCGUGUAGGCGGCCAGAUAAGUCCGCUGUGAAAUCUCGAGGCUCAACUUCGAGCUGUCGGUGGAAACUGUCUGGCUAGAGUCCGGAAGAGGAGACUGGAAUUCCUGGUGUAGCGGUGAAAUGCGCAGAUAUCAGGAGGAACACCGAUGGCGAAGGCAGGUCUCUGGGCCGAUACUGACGCUGAGGAGCGAAAGCGUGGGGAGCGAACAGG